CUGCCACCGAAUACAUUAGCAUGGGAUAAUGGAAUAGGACCCUGUCCUCCUAUCUUCAGUUGGUUAACUUGUAGAGGAUCCGGGUAAUGAUUAAUAGGGAUAGUUGGGGGCAUUAAUAUUUAAUUGUCAGAGGUGAAAUUCUUGGAUUUAUGAAAAAUUAACUUCUGCGAAAGCAUCUGCCAAGGAUGUUUUCUUUAAUCAAGAACGAAAGUUAGGGGAUCGAAAACAAUCACAUACCGUCGUAGUCUUAACCAUAAACGAUGCCGACCACCGAUUAGGAGACGUUGAAUACAAAACACCACCAUGUAUAAUUCAGUAUAUGGCCAGUCAAAUGGUUGUAUAUUGUUUGUGUAUGGCACCGGUGAAUGACUCCCUAGCAGCUUGUGAGAACAGCUUGUGAAAA
rnacentral:rRNA from 1 species